CCCUGUAUCGAAAGUGAUCAUGGCGUGAUAGUGGCCAGGUCAUUGAUAACGCAGGGAGAGAGAGCUGAAAGUCUUUCCCGUGUUUGCUGGACUCUCUGUUCCUUAUAAACCCUGUAUCUUUCAGACA